AACACUGCUUAUAACUAAGUUUGAGUACUGACUCUUACCUUAGCUCAAACUCAGUAAAUAACAUUGUUUCUUUGAUACAUCGUUGGGUUCAUGUUUCUCCAAACAUAAAGAUUGCAACAAGUGAUUAAAUCACCAUGAAAAAGGAUAAAUUGAUAAGGAAGAAAAGAAAAAUGAGAGAGAUGAUGACAAGUUGACAACUACAAAAAAUGACCUAAUUCUAAUUUUAAUUAAUCUAAAAAUAAACCAGAUUCGAAAUUAAUCUAAACCGGUCGAAAUUGAACAUUAAAUUAAGUUUGGUUUACAUAAUCUAGAUUUCUGUUAAUAAAUCUGCCAUAACAUAAAUUAAAAAGUCUGCCACCACAUAAACAAAAAGUCUAUCAACAAUUUUAAGUCAAAUAUAUAAAUCUGCCAUAAGAAAAUAAAUCGAACAUAAUAAAAUAAAUUGACCACAAAAAUAUAUCAUUUAUAACAAAUCUGCUACCUCAAUCGACAGACAUAUUCUUUUUCUAUUCAAAUUGAACAAUUAACCAUGCCGUGGAAACAAAUCUUACGUUUCUAAGAAAGUCUCACACCAUUUUAACGGUAGAUUUUUUUAAUACAUAUUUUAUAAACAGACUUAUUAUUUGACAAAUUUAUUUUUUUGAGAAUAAAUCUACCAUCGAUCAAAAGUUAAGGGUAUUUUGAUAAUGUUUUUUUUUAUAACUAUGGACAAGGGCAAUUUCGACCAGAAAAAUAUUUUAAUAAUUUUCAAAAAAAUAUGAGUCAUUCUAGUAAUAACACAACUAAUUUGUGUCAUUUAAGUAAACUUUCCGGCACCAUAAAUUACUUAUAAUGACUCAAAUAAUACAUGUAAUAACUAGAAUAACCCAUAAACUUUUAUCAUUGCUAGACUAAUUUUUGGGCGAAAGAAAGUACAGAAAACCCAUCCACGCUCGUCUAGAAGUUUUAGAAGGAGCACUACUAAAAAAAUCCCUAAAAUUUCUCUCAACUCGAGCUUUCUGAUUUUUCGAAGGUGCGAACAGUCCUCAAUGUUGGUGCGCAUUGACCCUACUGGCUCUUGAUUUGUAUGCGCUCGAGUCUCGCAGCAACCGUGAAGAUUUGUCUAUGGGUACUGUUUUUGCAUCACGUGUAUACGCUCACUCACUUCGUUCGUUGUGCUGCUGAUGGAAGCGCUUUUAAAAAAUGUGAUUGCUCUAUUUGAUAUGCACGUGUGCGGAGAGAAACGAAGGGAAGUGAAGAGAUUCAACUUGAAGAUGAACCCAUAUCACCCUUUGUCUUCUUCUUUUAGGAGAAGCUACGUUGAGAACAAGGAGGAAGCUUGAAGAAUAUGUUUCAUUCUUUGGAAGAACAUGUGAGGAGAGGAGGAGAGGUAUCAGCGUUUCACAAUCACUCAGCUCAUAUAUUACUUUCACAAAAUCCUCCUAUCUAAUUUCGUAGUUAGCUUCAAGUAAUUCACUACCUUGAUCAUUAUCCACUUCAAAUAACCAGUUCUCUCUUUCAAAUCUUCACGUUCCGCAGACGAAAAUAAUGUGAUCCAUGUUUCUCCAAGCAAUAAGAAUUGUAACAAGUGAUAAAACCACCAUGAAAGGGAAUAAUUUGAUAAGGAAAAAAAUAUGGAUGAAAGAGAUGACGACAGUUACCAAAAAUUACUUAAUUCUGAUCUUAAUUAACCUAAAAAUAAACAAGUUUCAAAAGUAAUAUAACCAAGGUCAAAAUUGAACAUUAAAUUAAGUUUGGUUGACAUUAACCCAGAUUUUCGUCAAUAAAUCUGCCACAACAUAAACUAAAAAGUUUACGACUACAUAAAAUAAAAAAUCUGCCAACUAUUUUAAGUCAGAUAUAUAAAUUUGCCAUAAGAAAAUAAGUCGGACAUAAGAAAUUAAGUCGGUACAUAAGAAAAUAAGUCGGU